AUGGCUGUGAAGGGGUGCUCCACCGAGCCGCCACCAGGGGACAGUACCGGGGAGGAGCUUUGCCGAGCCAGAAACUGCAUCGCCAUCCCUACUGAGGCUGCCACCGCUGCAAAUGAGCACUGCCGUUACCACCCCACCAAAGCUUCCUCCGGUGUGCGCCACGCUGCUCCACCGGGAGUGCAAAGGGGCGGCAGCCACCACGGAGGAGGCGUCUGCGCCGUUCUGGCUGCUCCAUUGAAUAAGGCUGUCGCCGGGAGCUGCUUCGCACUGUCAUCGCCACGCUGCUACCCCUGGCAUCCUGCACAAUGUCACCUGCGGGGUUCGCCAAUCUCCUCUCGGCACUCUACAAGACUUGAACGUCCAUGGCCGGGAUUGCUGGUGCCGCCUGCUCUCAGUGCGCGCGUCGCCCGUCCCGCAUGCACCAGCACCACCGCACCUCCCUUUCCUGUGUGCACUGCGGACACGCGGGUGCCGCCUUCCUCAAUGCAUGUGGACUGUGGGUCACCAGUCGCCAUCACAGGAACAAGCGCCGCCCACGCGCUGGGCUCCUCUAUUAGCGUCGCCACCCAGUCACGCGCGUUCCCGUCCGCACGGUCAAUGCUCUUGCAAGUGCAACUCCCUCUCUCACCUGACCGUGCACACUGCGGUGGCACUGGCUCUCUCUUAUCUAGCAACAGCUUCUCUUUUGCCGAUUUGGUGUAUCAAUUUGAAAUCUGUUUUUUUUUUGUUACAAUAAAAUGUCAGUGUGAUGUCAAGCUUGAUGUCAAGCUUAAUGCAGAGAAACCUUGA
rnacentral:rRNA from 1 species